AAUACAAUGUGGGGCGUUGGUGCUCGCGCCGCGGUUCUCGCGGCGCAGUUAAACGGGAAGCUUGGGGGGAUGCCGGCCGCUCGGCCGGGUCCUAACCAGCGCUGCCCCCGCAACGGUAAGUGGACGGGUGCGUCUCGCGCACGCACCCCGCUUUCGCCCGUCGGUCACUGGAUGCCUGGCAUCUGGGAAGGCCCGCGAAGGUUGCUUCCACCAGCCCGGAUACCGGCCAACGCGGUGAUCGGCUC
rnacentral:ncRNA from 2 species